ACGAACGCUGGCGGCGUGCUUAACACAUGCAAGUCGAACGGAAAGUCCCUGCUUUUGUGGGGUGCUCGAGUGGCGAACGGGUGAGUAACACGUGAGUAACCUGCCCUUGACUUUGGGAUAACUUCAGGAAACUGGGGCUAAUACCGGAUAGGAGCUCCUGCUGCAUGGUGGGGGUUGGAAAGUUUCGGCGGUUGGGGAUGGACUCGCGGCUUAUCAGCUUGUUGGUGGGGUAGUGGCUUACCAAGGCUUUGACGGGUAGCCGGCCUGAGAGGGUGACCGGCCACAUUGGGACUGAGAUACGGCCCAGACUCCUACGGGAGGCAGCAGUGGGGAAUAUUGCACAAUGGGCGGAAGCCUGAUGCAGCAACGCCGCGUGCGGGAUGACGGCCUUCGGGUUGUAAACCGCUUUCGCCUGUGACGAAGCGUGAGUGACGGUAAUGGGUAAAGAAGCACCGGCUAACUACGUG
rnacentral:rRNA from 1 species